CCUUUUGUAUAAUGGGUCAGCGACUUAUAUUCUGUAGCAAGGUUAACCGAAUAGGGGAGCCGAAGGGAAACCGAGUCUUAACUGGGCGUUAAGUUGCAGGGUAUAGACCCGAAACCCGGUGAUCUAGCCAUGGGCAGGUUGAAGGUUGGGUAACACUAACUGGAGGACCGAACCGACUAAUGUUGAAAAAUUAGCGGAUGACUUGUGGCUGGGGGUGAAAGGCCAAUCAAACCGGGAGAUAGCUGGUUCUCCCCGAAAGCUAUUUAGGUAGCGCCUCGUGAACUCAUCUCCGGGGGUAGAGCACUGUUUCGGCAAGGGGGUCAUCCCGACUUACCAACCCGAUGCAAACUGCGAAUACCGGAGAAUGUUAUCACGGGAGACACACGGCGGGUGCUAACGUCCGUCGUGAAGAGGGAAACAACCCAGACCGCCAGCUAAGGUCCCAAAGUCAUGGUUAAGUGGGAAACGAUGUGGGAAGGCCCAGACAGCCAGGAUGUUGGCUUAGAAGCAGCCAUCAUUUAAAGAAAGCGUAAUAGCUCACUGGUCGAGUCGGCCUGCGCGGAAGAUGUAACGGGGCUAAACCAUGCACCGAAGCUGCGGCAGCGACGCUUAUGCGUUGUUGGGUAGGGGAGCGUUCUGUAAGCCUGUGAAGGUGUGCUGUGAGGCAUGCUGGAGGUAUCAGAAGUGCGAAUGCUGACAUAAGUAACGAUAAAGCGGGUGAAAAGCCCGCUCGCCGGAAGACCAAGGGUUCCUGUCCAACGUUAAUCGGGGCAGGGUGAGUCGACCCCUAAGGCGAGGCCGAAAGGCGUAGUCGAUGGGAAACAGGUUAAUAUUCCUGUACUUGGUGUUACUGCGAAGGGGGGACGGAGAAGGCU
rnacentral:rRNA from 1 species